rnacentral:tRNA from 1 species
GCGACGGUAGUGUAGUGGUAUCACGUGACCUUGCCAUGGUCACAACAGGGGUUCAAAUCCCCUCCGUCGCA